CCCUGUGGAAACUACAUGGCCACGGCAGUCACGCCUAGAAUCCUUUGUGCGGUGUUCACAUAGAAUGCUUUGGCCCCCAUUGUGCCACUCAGGGCACCUGCCUUGAAAUACCCGCGACGCUCGGAUCGGAGUCUGACGAUGGUCAGCAGGUGGCACUCUCGUUUUAGGAUUCCAGCCCCUAAUUCUUUCAGAGUAAAUACUGAAAAGUCAAAGGACCUGUCAAGAUCAUCGGCCAUGACAGUGGCUGGAUGGAGGCCACCUCAUCCAUCUGGUCCUGGCAUUUCUGAGAAAGGACCAUGCUGAACCAUGCAGAGCAAAUUUGCAAGUGCUAUCUCAUGGACUGCCUCAUUGGUUGUCACAAUAAUACUGUGAGUUGGGAUUCCAUUUGAGAACCAACUCUAGUCAGCCUUCAGGCUGGUCCAUGAUCAAGGACCUACAAGACGAAGUGACAGCCCAGUGACUCUACAAGUUCACCUGUCCCUCAUCUCCACAGCCCUGCAGCAUCAAUGGGCAUGCUGUGAAUGCUGGAGGACUGACCAGCAUGCCCCGAUUGUUCUCUAUUACUUGGAGUGUUAAGUCUUAUCUCCUUGGCUAGAUUGAAAGAAUCGGGAAUAGAAGCUAUAUGCUAGAAAGCCAUGCACAGCCAGCCACUGUGGCUGUCCUACCUGGUAGCCCAGCUCACAUGAGACUGACCCAGGACACCACGGGACCACUCCAGACCCCCUGUUAACCUUUCCUGGCACAUCCAAGCAAAGGGCUGAUACUCACUGCAAGGUGGUGCCCCACCUUUCCACAGCCCAUCACCACCACCACCCUCUUCUCCAGAAUCUAGCUCUUUAGGCUAAUAUGGAAAUGAAGAAAAGAGGAUUUGUCCACGCAUGUGACUGAGGAGAUAGUUGGAGAGAUGGUCUUAGGGAAAGGUGGGUACAGUGAGGCAAAUGUCACCGUUUUCUCUCUCUCUCUCUCUCUCCCAGUCUAUCUUUGCUUAUCUUCGUAAAUUGGCUUCUUUCCCUCACCCUAAUCCAAACAGAUUAGAUCUAUUUGUCAUGGGGUACUGCUAAAACCAGGCUUAUGUCCUGUCAAGAGUAGCAACCCCAGAGGAAAGAGCCGCUCACUCCUGCUUCAGUAUAGAGAAUUCCCAGGGCCAAUUCUCAUUGGCCCAGCUUGGGUGACAUUUCCCUACUUUGACCUGUCAUCAGGUGUGAGGCUGGUGUUAGGAUUUUGCAGGGCGGUUAGUCGGGUGUUCAGGAAUAUGAUUGGAAUCCCCACCACAAACCCAGAAUCAACAGGAGCUGGGGCAAAUCAACAGGAGCUGGGGCAAAUCAGCAGGAACUGGGGCAAGGCAGUCUUCCAAAGGAAGGGACUAUUGAUGAUGCAGACACCAACUGUCUACCAUGAUGGUUUGUUCUGAAGAGUAACAUAUGAUUUGUGCAGCAGAAUUCCUCAUAAUAAUGAAGAAAACAAUGAGAGAUCAUGAAUGUUUGACCCCAUAUAUACACACACGUCUGCACAACUACCUACUGGCAAAUUCUCCUGGGGUGAGCAGUGGAAUUCAGUUCAGAAGUGAUCUUUUUUGGCAGAAACAAGUCAGGAGGAAUUCUACGUGAACACCAUCGGCCCUUGGUGUUAUGCCUGGCUCAAGCCAGCAUUAUCUGUCAUUCAGUUUCAGGAGCAUCUGACACACCUUUUCAUGCUGAGAGCUAAUUGCCCUAUUUUCAAACCUGGACCUGUCCCUCCAGUGAUAUUUUUCCAAUUGCAGUGAUAUAUUUGUGUAGCCAGCAAGCACUGCCAAAGCUAUAGCUAUUCUGGAGUGUCGUUGGGGUAGGGAGCAGGGGAAUUAUGCAGCAAUACAGUAAACAAAAGUAAAGCCUCUCUGAAUAAAAAGUUACAA
rnacentral:lncRNA from 1 species